rnacentral:lncRNA from 1 species
UUCUUUUAUAUGUAGGCUAUACCUUCAAUUUAAGACUAAAAUCUAAAUUUGUAUUUUGAACUAUAUUAUUUUCUAAUAAUUACUUAAGCUCCGUAGUACGGGAAUACCAUUCUUUAUCAAUAUUAUUGGCUUGGCCUAAAAAUACAGUCCGUGUCACGAGUUAAAAUGCUUAUUUCUCUGAAUUUGAACAUUCUUGAAAACAUUUAGGAUAAACACGUUAGCAAAAUAUGCAAUAAUGUUCUGGUGGUUUUUGGAUAUUUUAAUUACAUUUUAUUUUACAUAUUGUGCCUUUAAAUGUGGUAGCCUACGUCAAAGGAUUGGCUUGUGAUGAUCAAUUUGGUGCACAAAUGUGAAAUGACCUGACUCACCUGAUUCUAAUUAGGCUACUAUCUGAGAGUUCGACUGCUAAGUUUGUUGAUGGAAACUGAAGCUCUCAAACGUUUUUAAGAUAACUUUACCAGCGACGACAACAUCAUGAAAAUCAGUAUUUGUCUGGUUGAAUAAGCAGAAAAGGUGUCAUGUAAAACAUGAAACAGCAACACACAGCUGCGACACAAACUGGAAACAUUUGAUGAAGGAGAAAUCCUGAGUACGGACAACAGGUUUUAAUCAUCAGAGCAACUCAUCAUCAGCAACAACAACGAGCGCCGGAGAGCACGACACCUUCAGAUGAGCUGCAGGGAAUCUUGGCUGCAUGUUUAUUGAGAUGUGACAGUGCGAUAUGCAGUGCGGAGGGGGAUAAACGAUGUGUGUCAGGCCUGCUGGGCUCCAUAUGGUCCAUCACCAAGGUUUUCACACUACAUCACACCCAUGAGAUGGAUGAACACAGGCUGCCUGUUUACCAGUCAUCCUUCAGAUCAAAUGAUGAGGGCCAGCAGAACAGGUACCCAAGGCUGUGGCCCCUCAAAUGUUUAUUGUCUGUUACAGUGUCACCAUGCUCUACCAUAUUUUAUGGUUUUUAUAUGUCACGCUACUAUAGUGGAAAAGGACAUUUGUUGGACCGGUGACUGAGAGAUUUAAAAGGGUGUCAUUCAAGGUUGAGAUUUGACAGAGUCACUGAAGCGCCGAGCGAUAGAGAUAACUGCUUCUGACUAAAGCCUGAGCAGGACAGAUGUACAUUCACAUUUAACCAUUUAUUUCCCUGCGGUAUUUGGUGUUUAAUGAAGAAAUGGUCACACUUUGUAACAUUAAAACAUAAAUGUUACGAGUUUAUGUUGUUAACCCUUAUUUGCUGUUGGGGAUGUUUUCAUCCACUGUCUGGAGUGAUUUUGAGCAUUAAUUUGGCCAUAACAUUUUCUGUGUUUCAGCUAGCGGAAUGAUUUUUGGUGACACAUUUUACUUUGACAUAUAUUUUGGAAAAGUGCUUUAAAAUUUGUAAACUCAGUGAUACACUCUGGGCAAAUUUACUACAUUUUUGUAAUGUUAAGGAUGAAAACAUCCAUUAAACUGCUGUAAAAAUGCAUCAUAUACCUUUUUUUAUUAUUUUUUUGCAUAAAUAAGUUAAUUAAAUUCUUUCAAUUAAAACUACCAAAUUGUUUAGAAAAUUACAUGAUUUUAACUCUUUAAUUGACAAAUUCAUAAAUGAAGUUACUGAUUUGGUGAAAAAAAAAU